rnacentral:rRNA from 1 species
GACGAACGCUGGCGGCGUGCCUAAUACAUGCAAGUCGAGCGGGGAUUAUGCUUGAUCGCUUCGGUGAGACGGCAUAUAUCCUAGCAGCGGACGGGUGAGUAACGCGUGGGUAAUCUACCUCGUAGUUCGGGAUAACAGGCCGAAAGGCUUGCUAAUACCGGAUGAGUUCAUGCUUAUGCAUAUAGGCAUGAAGAAAGGGCUAGCCCGCUAUGAGAUGAGCCCGCGUCCCAUUAGCUUGUUGGUGGGGUAAUGGCCUACCAAGGCAACGAUGGGUAGCCGGCCUGAGAGGGUGUACGGCCACACUGGGACUGAGACACGGCCCAGACUCCUACGGGGGGCAGCAGUAGGGAAUUUUCGGCAAUGGGCGAAAGCCUGACCGAGCGACGCCGCGUGAGGGACGAAGGCCUUCGGGUUGUAAACCUCUGUCUGGGGGGAUGAGAACGGACGGUACCCCCGGAGGAAGCCCCGGCUAACUACGUGCCAGCAGCCGCGGUAAUACGUAGGGGGCUAGCGUUGUCCGGAAUUACUGGGCGUAAAGGGCGUGUAGGCGGUCGUGCAAGUCGGUUGUGAAAGUCUAGGGCUCAACUCUAGGAUGCCGAUCG